GAUGAACGCUGGCGGCGUGCCUAAUACAUGCAAGUCGAGCGAACGGACGAGAAGCUUGCUUCUCUGAUGUUAGCGGCGGACGGGUGAGUAACACGUGGAUAACCUACCUAUAAGACUGGGAUAACUUCGGGAAACCGGAGCUAAUACCGGAUAAUAUUUUGAACCGCAUGGUUCAAAAGUGAAAGACGGUCUUGCUGUCACUUAUAGAUGUAUCCGCGCUGCAUUAGCUAGUUGGUAAGGUAACGGCUUACCAAGGCAACGAUGCAUAGUCGACCUGAGAGGGUGAUCGGCCACACUGGAACUGAGACACGGUCCAGACUCCUACGGGAGGCAGCAGUAGGGAAUCUUCCGCAAUGGGCGAAAGCCUGACGGAGCAACGCCGCGUGAGUGAUGAAGGUCUUCGGAUCGUAAAACUCUGUUAUUAGGGAAGAACAUAUGUGUAAGUAACUGUGCACAUCUUGACGGUACCUAAUCAGAAAGCCACGGCUAACUACGUG
rnacentral:rRNA from 1 species